UGGGGAAUCUUGCACAAUGGAGGAAACUCUGAUGCAGCGAUGCCGCGUGAGUGAAGAAGGCCCUUGGGUUGUAAAGCUCUUUCGUCGGGGAAGAAAAUGACUGUACCCGAAUAAGAAGGUCCGGCUAACUUCGUGCCAGCAGCCGCGGUAAUACGAAGGGACCUAGCGUAGUUCGGAAUUACUGGGCUUAAAGAGUUCGUAGGUGGUUGAAAAAGUUAGUGGUGAAAUCCCAAGGCUCAACCUUGGAACUGCCAUCAAAACUUUUUAGCUAGAGUGUGAUAGAGGUAAGUGGAAUUUCUAGUGUAGAGGUGAAAUUCGUAGAUAUUAGAAAGAACACCAAAAGCGAAGGCAACUUACUGGGUCACUACUGACACUGAGGAGCGAAAGCGUGGGGAGCAAACGGG
rnacentral:rRNA from 1 species